UGGCAGAUCCAUCUGGUGUGUGUGUGUGUGUGUGAGUGUGUGUGGACGGGACCUUUUUGGUCUUUUGGCGGCUGAGAUGUUCUUCCGCAUUCUUCUCCUGACGCCUGGAUACAUUCGAUACCUGCAGACUCAGGCAGCGCGGACCGGUCUGCAGAGGGAGGGGCCCGUUGUACCCCGCUUUGCCAUGCUGCUAGGCCUUGUGGGUUUUGGCAUGUCAGGAUACAGCUCUUGCCAGCUGACCUUAUACCACAAGCCAUCGCCACAUCUCCUGCGGUGAAACACAACGCAGGAAACAGAGAGAAAGCGCAUCGCUUUUGUUUAGAGGUGCGUUCUUUCUUAAACAGACUGAACAAGCCAAAUAUCAUCAUUAUAGUUUUUACCACAUCAUGCUGAAGCUCAUAGUCUUGCUUUGGGUGCGAGGAUGGCAGAUCCUCAACCAAGCUCUCCCAAACUUGUUCUCUGGCAACAAUGGAGUGAAUUAAAUGCUUUUACUUUUUAAUUAGUUAGUCUAAAUCAUAAAAUGACAAAGGGGAUAUUAUAUGGCCUUGUGGAACUCAAGGAUGUCUCAAAGGCCACUUAAAUUCACCAUUUGGGACAGGGGUCCAUUUAGCACUGGAUUAUAU